UCCCUCAAUUAAAAAUAAACACAUUUAAUUUAGAAAAAAAAAAAAAAGGAUUUCUCACCAAUGAAUAGCCCAUCCUGUGACCAGAGGCUGUAGGCAGGACUCCCAGGAAGAAAACGUGACCUCGUGAGCGUCCCGUGACAGAUCAUCAAAACCUUCAGAAACAAAUGGUUGACUGUUCCAAACAGACUCCCCAGGGCCAAGGGGUCCUAGGAGUUCCCCGCUCUUCCUGACAGACAGUCCCUGAAAAGCACACUGUAGUGAUGGAAUGGGGUUAAGUAGAGGUGCACUCCUGAUGAUUCCCCACAUUGGCCCAGGGAAGGUUCCCAUGACACAGAUUUGGGGAGCAGAUAAUCUGAGGCAGCAUAAGAAGGAUAAGCUGCAGCUUGUUUUGCAAUGUUACCCAGAAUUCCCCAGACUCCACAACUUUGACCCUAUGUCCUAGAACCAGGAAUUGGGAGCAGGAGUGCUGGGAAUAUGGGGUCACACAUGUCUCCAGCUCCCAGGGCUUCCUGCCAGACUUCUUAGUCUUUGGGAAUUCUUUGCAGGCCCCUAAGGAGGUAUGAAAGCUGGUCCCAAGUUCACCUGACUUAUUGAAAAGUUAACUUCCUGGCUGAGAUGCUCAAAGUAGACCAUUAAUGGGGAGGGAGCAACGUCGAUGUCCCUAAGGCCAACCCUCUGCUCUUUCCAGUACCCUGGGGUGUACCUUACCCAUUUGUUGUUGUUUAGUCACUUCAGUCGCCUGCCAGGCGUCUCUGUCCAUGGUAUUUCCCAGGCAAGAGUACUGGAGUGGGGUGCCAUUGCCUUCUCCAAAAGAUGACACUAGAAAUCACUUAACAUUUAUACAUAUAAUAAAAUAAUAGCAUUCUUCCAUUUCCAGUAAAAUCUCUAGGGAAAAGGAAAAUUAUAGGGGAGCAAAUAAUGUUCCCUCUCCCAAAGUCAACCCUGAGUUCUCUGCUAAUCUUGGGAUUUGAGAAUAGUUCUCAAGUCUCCCCAAAGCCAUCUAUUUUGAGUAGACAAUUCCCAGUUCAUACAUGACUGCUUUCAAAACUCUUGACACAUACUGUCCU
ensembl:lncRNA